rnacentral:rRNA from 1 species
GCUUGAUCCCUGGCUCAGAACGAACGCUGGCGGCAGGCUUAACACAUGCAAGUCGAGCGCCCCGCAAGGGGAGCGGCAGACGGGUGAGUAACGCGUGGGAAUCUACCCAUCUCUACGGAAUAACUCAGGGAAACUUGUGCUAAUACCGUAUACGCCCUUCGGGGGAAAGAUUUAUCGGAGAUGGAUGAGCCCGCGUUGGAUUAGCUAGUUGGUGGGGUAAAGGCCUACCAAGGCGACGAUCCAUAGCUGGUCUGAGAGGAUGAUCAGCCACAUUGGGACUGAGACACGGCCCAAACUCCUACGGGAGGCAGCAGUGGGGAAUAUUGGACAAUGGGCGCAAGCCUGAUCCAGCCAUGCCGCGUGUGUGAUGAAGGCCUUAGGGUUGUAAAGCACUUUCACCGGAGAAGAUAAUGACGGUAUCCGGAGAAGAAGCC